rnacentral:rRNA from 1 species
GGUGAAGCCCAGCUUGCUGGGUGGAUCAGUGGCGAACGGGUGAGUAACACGUGAGCAAUCUGCCCCUGACUCUGGGAUAAGCGCUGGAAACGGCGUCUAAUACUGGAUACGAGCUUCCACCGCAUGGUGAGUUGUUGGAAAGAUUUUUCGGUCAGGGAUGAGCUCGCGGCCUAUCAGCUUGUUGGUGAGGUAAUGGCUCACCAAGGCGUCGACGGGUAGCCGGCCUGAGAGGGUGACCGGCCACACUGGGACUGAGACACGGCCCAGACUCCUACGGGAGGCAGCAGUGGGGAAUAUUGCACAAUGGGCGCAAGCCUGAUGCAGCAACGCCGCGUGAGGGACGACGGCCUUCGGGUUGUAAACCUCUUUUAGCAGGGAAGAAGCGAAAGUGACGGUACCUGCAGAAAAAGCGCCGGCUAACUACGUGCCAGCAGCCGCGGUAAUACGUAGGGCGCAAGCGUUAUCCGGAAUUAUUGGGCGUAAAGAGCUCGUAGGCGGUUUGUCGCGUCUGCUGUGAAAUCCCGAGGCUCAACCUCGGGUCUGCAGUGGGUACGGGCAGACUAGAGUGCGGUAGGGGAGAUUGGAAUUCCUGGUGUAGCGGUGGAAUGCGCAGAUAUCAUGAGGAACACCGAUGGCGAAGGCAGAUCUCUGGGCCGUAACUGACGCUGAGGAGCGAAAGGGUGGGGAGCAAACAGGCUUAGAUACCCUGGUAGUCCCACCCCCGUAAACGUUGGGAACUAGUUGUGGGGUCCAUUCCACGGAUUCCCGUGACGCAGCUAACGCAUUUAAGUUUCCCCGCCCUGGGGGAGUACGGGCCGCCAGGGCUUAAAAACUUCAAAGGAAUUGACGGGGGACCCCGCACAAGCGGCGGAACCAUGCCGGAUUUAAUUCGAUGCCAACGUCGAAAAAACUCUUACCCAAGGCUUGGACUUUAUACCGAAGAAACGGGGCCA